rnacentral:rRNA from 1 species
AAUGAAUUGACGGGGGCCCGCACAAGCGGUGGAGCAUGUGGUUUAAUUCGAUGCAACGCGAAGAACCUUACCUGGUCUUGACAUCCACAGAACUUUCCAGAGAUGGAUUGGUGCCUUCGGGAACUGUGAGACAGGUGCUGCAUGGCUGUCGUCAGCUCGUGUUGUGAAAUGUUGGGUUAAGUCCCGCAACGAGCGCAACCCUUAUCCUUUGUUGCCAGCGGUCCGGCCGGGAACUCAAAGGAGACUGCCAGUGAUAAACUGGAGGAAGGUGGGGAUGACGUCAAGUCAUCAUGGCCCUUACGACCAGGGCUACACACGUGCUACAAUGGCAUAUACAAAGAGAAGCGACCUCGCGAGAGCAAGCGGACCUCAUAAAGUAUGUCGUAGUCCGGAUUGGAGUCUGCAACUCGACUCCAUGAAGUCGGAAUCGCUAGUAAUCGUAGAUCAGAAUGCUACGGUGAAUACGUUCCCGGGCCUUGUACACACCGCCCGUCACACCAUGGGAGUGGGUUGCAAAAGAAGUAGGUAGCUUAACCUUCGGGAGGGCGCUUACCACUUUGUGAUUCAUGACUGGGGUGAAGUCGUAACAAGGUAACCGUAGGGGAACCUGCGGUUGGAUCACCUCCUUA